UUUGGGCUCAUGUAAGGGCUAGUCACUGAAAGGAGAGAAUCUCUUGGACUUAGGCUGUGUGCUGAGAUGGAGUGCUAUGUAGCUAGAGAACUCCUUCACCAAGUGGAGCUUAUGAUCAAAGGCAGCACAUAGGCUUUAAUGAGAAAAAACACAGCACUAAUGUUACCGUGGAAAGCUGCAGCAGUUAAAGAAGGACAAGCUGCAACAUGGACUGAGCUGCACCUGUUAUAAACCUCCUACAGUCUGAUCAAGGGCUUCUGUUUCUGUAGCUCCUGCUACUCUGUCAAUUGUACACAAGGACAAAGAAACAGUAUGGCAGCUGACCUAUGCCUCAUCACCUGCACACAGAACCUCAAAGUUGAGCAACAGAUGGCCAGUAGCUCUCAGUCAACAGGAUUCAGAAGCAAGAGAGCAGCUCUGGGACGGAGGAUGUCUCUCAGGCUGAAGAGAUCAUACUCCCCAUGGCUAAAAACAGCCUUGGACCCUGCCAGAGUCUCACUCUGGUACCAGUCAUUUCACAGUGGGAACUCUGAAAGGCUCAGACUGACCCAACUGGACUUGGCUAAGUGGGAUGCAGGAGCUGCCAAAGCCCAUUCCACCAUGGGGCCCCUGGGCAGGGGUUCUGCAGCUGUUGGUGGGAGGUGGACGAUGGACCACCUCUGGGACACACAGUGCUCCUGAUCCACCACGGGAAGCUGCUCUGGUUCCUGUCUCUCUUCAGCAUUCAUAAUGAUAUCUUGGCUUGUUCAAGCUCUCUUCAUAAAUCCUGAUAAACUCCUAACCUCAAAAACAUCCUGUAACUAGGGGCUCCCUAGUCUAGUUGCCAUGUUGUGAGAAAAAGUGCUUCCCGUUAUCACCAUUACAUUUGCAGCUGCUGAGCUUCAUCAAAUCUCUUCAUGCCCUUGUUUUAAAGACAAUGUGAAUAUUAAUUCCUCUCUCCCUUAUUUAUGACACCCACUCUCUUCAUACAUCCAUUCUGCCCCCUCUUAUUAAUCUACCCUUGAAGGUAAACUGAGCCAGCUUUUUCAAUCUC
ensembl:lncRNA